rnacentral:snRNA from 1 species
CUGAUUGGCGGGAUCCCUCGCGGG